AAACACUGCCCUCCAGACUCAAGGUGAGGUGUGCUCCAGGGCCUGCAGCAGCAGCAUUAUUGGGAGUUGUUAGAAAUGCACAUCUGGGCCCAGCCAGCCUAAACUGGAAUCUGCGUUGGCAAGCUCCCCAGUGAUCUGUGUGCCCAUCAAAGAAGCACGAUGCUGAGUCUGUCACAAGCCAGCAUCAUCUCAUGUCACCUCCUAACACUCCUCAGAGGCCAAUUAUUCCCUGAUUUUACAGGUGGAAACUGCAGCUGAGAGGUGAAAGGACCUGGUUAAGGACUCAAGACUACCCCCAGCAGGAGCUGCAACAGGCAGCCAGACCGUCUGGCCUGAGUUCUCAACCCUACAUCCCAACACCCCCUGCGGUUUCCCAUUCAAUCACCACCAGCACUCCAAGGUCUCCUGCCCGAUUCUUAUUCAGUCAGGAUUCUUUGCCUGACAGACUGACCUAAGCCUUCUUCUUGAGGGCUGAGCCAUGGCUGUAAGGCAUCUCAGCAGGCUUCCAGCAACAUCGACCACUGGGUACAAUGAUGUAAGAGGUCCUUCACGGGGGUGUGGGUUCUACCCAUGGUGUGUGUGUGUGUGUCUGCGUGUGUCAAAGAUCCCCAGAUGGCCAGUCCCAGUUUCCAGUGGAACCACAAUGGUGCCUCCUGAUGGAUUUGCUCCUCCCUUCCAUUCUAAAACCACCAGACACACAAUCAAAACCCAGAGCCGCCUGCACAGGAAACAGGCAUUUUGAUGAGAGAGAGGGGCACCCUCAUCACUUCUAUUUCUAGUUCCAAGACGCUUUGGAAGAAACAUAUCAGAAAGGGUGGCUGUUCCAGAGCACACACUCCCCACAGACCUGACCUGGUCCAGCUACCAGAGGUGCAUCCUCUCCACGCCAAAGCCAUGCCUGGCCUUCUCUCUGAGCACCUUCAGGCCCAGUUCUGACAGCAUUUGGCCAGGUGUCUUUGGAGAUAGUCACCAGCACUGUGAGCAGACAGGAGCUGGGGAGGAGGACAAGAGCGAGGGCACCAGAACAGACAAGUCGUAGACUGGUCCCAGUCCAGCUGUCAGGCUGUGCUCCCUCCGCUCUGUGCCAAGUUCCCACUCUGGCCUCAGUUUCCUUCUGAGUCCCAGUGGGGAUAAUAACAUGACUCUUCCUCCUGCGGGGCUGUGCAGAUUAACUAAUUAAUGAGUGUGACAGCGUCUGCAUCCACAAAGGGGCUGAUUAAAUGCUGAGUGUUGUUAUUAGUAGCUGUGGCAGUUGUGUGACAGGCAGUUGGCUGGAGACAGAUCUGCCCCCUGCCUCCUCCCCAUGGAGGACCCAGAUGGAAGGGUCCUCCAUCUGCCCCAUGCUCCGCAAGCCGAACAUCUUGCAAGACAAAGCCAGGAUGAUUUUUAGCACCCCAAAGACAGCAUAGAACUUUUGCGCAUUUCCCCUGUGCUGGAAUGUGAGUCACAGCCGAGCUUCAUAGUGUAAUCUAUCUCCGACAGCUGGCACAGCUGUACCCUGCCCCAACUCAG
rnacentral:lncRNA from 1 species